UACGGAGGGUGCAAGCGUUAAUCGGAAUUACUGGGCGUAAAGCGCGCGUAGGUGGUUUGUUAAGUUGGAUGUGAAAUCCCCGGGCUCAACCUGGGAACUUCAUCCAAAACUGGCAAGCUAGAGUAUGGUAGAGGGUGGUGGAAUUUCCUGUGUAGCGGUGAAAUGCGUAGAUAUAGGAAGGAACACCAGUGGCGAAGGCGACCACCUGGACUGAUACUGACACUGAGGUGCGAAAGCGUGGGGAGCAAACAGG
rnacentral:rRNA from 1 species